AAGACUGUAUUUUCAGGGAUCAUUUCUAUAGUUCUUUACUUGGAAAUGUGUUUUGAAAGUGUUUGUCUCCCAACCCAUGAUGAUGAACUGCGAUGCUUCUUUCUGAGAGUGAAUCAAGGGCAGAACUGUGGCUUUAUUCACAGUCUGUCAUUGAUGAGCAUUCAUAUUGCUUCUGGCAGUUUUGAAGAAAGGAGUAUGAUCUGAGUGGU
ensembl:snoRNA U3 Small nucleolar RNA U3